CUGGGAGGACCAUCUCCUAAGGCUAAAUACUCUCUAGUGACCGAUAGUGAACCAGUACCGUGAGGGAAAGGUGAAAAGCACCCCGGAAGGGGAGUGAAAUAGAACCUGAAACCGUGUGCUUACAAGUAGUCAGAGCCCGUUAAUGGGUGAUGGCGUGCCUUUUGUAGAAUGAACCGGCGAGUUACGAUUUGAUGCAAGGUUAAGCAGUAAAUGUGGAGCCGUAGCGAAAGCGAGUCUGAAUAGGGCGUUUAGUAUUUGGUCGUAGACCCGAAACCAGGUGAUCUACCCUUGGUCAGGUUGAAGUUCAGGUAACACUGAAUGGAGGACCGAACCGACUUACGUUGAAAAGUGAGCGGAUGAACUGAGGGUAGCGGAGAAAUUCCAAUCGAACCUGGAGAUAGCUGGUUCU
rnacentral:rRNA from 1 species